CCAGACUCCUACGGGAGGCAGCAGUAGGGAAUUUUGCGCAAUGGGGGAAACCCUGACGCAGCAACACCGCGUGAAUGUUAAGCCCUUCGGGGUGUCAAUUUCUGUCAAUAGGGACGAAUUUUGACUGUACCUAUAAAGGAAGCACCGGCUAACUACGUGCCAGCAGCCGCGGUAAUACGUAGGUGGCAAGCGUUAUCCGGAUUUACUGGGUGUAAAGGGCGUGUAGGCGGGAGUGCAAGUCAGAUGUGAAAGCCACGGGCUCAACCUGUGGCCUGCAUUUGAAACUGUGCUUCUUGAGUGCUGGAGAGGCAGACGGAAUUCCUAGUGUAGCGGUGAAAUGCGUAGAUAUUAGGAGGAACACCAGUGGCGAAGGCGGUCUGCUGGACAGCAACUGACGCUGAGGCGCGAAAGCGUGGGGAGCAAACAGGAUUAGAUACCCCGGUACA
rnacentral:rRNA from 1 species